rnacentral:rRNA from 1 species
UACGUAGGGUGCGAGCGUUGUCCGGAAUUAUUGGGCGUAAAGAGCUUGUAGGCGGUUUGUCGCGUCUGCCGUGAAAAUUCGAGGCUCAACCUCGAACUUGCGGUGGGUACGGGCAGACUAGAGUGAUGUAGGGGAGACUGGAAUUCCUGGUGUAGCGGUGAAAUGCGCAGAUAUCAGGAGGAACACCGAUGGCGAAGGCAGGUCUCUGGGCAUUAACUGACGCUGAGGAGCGAAAGCAUGGGGAGCGAACAGG